UACGGAGGGAGCUAGCGUUGUUCGGAAUUACUGGGCGUAAAGCGCGCGUAGGCGGCCUUGCAAGUUAGAGGUGAAAGCCCGGAGCUCAACUCCGGAACUGCCUUUAAAACUGCAUAGCUUGAAUCCGGGAGAGGUGAGUGGAAUUCCGAGUGUAGAGGUGAAAUUCGUAGAUAUUCGGAAGAACACCAGUGGCGAAGGCGGCUCACUGGCCCGGUACUGACGCUGAUGUGCGAAAGCGUGGGGAGCAAACAGG
rnacentral:rRNA from 1 species